rnacentral:rRNA from 1 species
GUGAGGAAUUUUCCACAAUGGGCGAAAGCCUGAUGGAGCGACGCCGUGUGUGCGAUGACGUCUUUCGGGAUGUAAAGCACUGUCAGGGGGGACGAUAAUGACGGUACCCCCAGAGGAAGGCCCGGCUAACUACGUGCCAGCAGCCGCGGUAAUACGUAGGGGCCAAGCGUUGUCCGGAAUCAUUGGGCGUAAAGGGCACGUAGGCGGUUUUGUAAGUCAGAUGUUAAAUCUACAGGCUCAACUUGUAGCCGCAUCUGAUACUGCUUAACUAGAGAAUGGUAGAGGAAAGCGGAACUUCCGGUGUAGCGGUGAAAUGCGUAGAUAUCGGAAGGAACACCAGUGGCGAAGGCGGCUUUCUAGGCCAUUUCUGACGCUGAGGUGCGAAAGCUAGGGGAGCAAACGGGAUUAGAUACCCCUGUAGUCC